rnacentral:rRNA from 1 species
AUGAACGCUGGCGGCGUGCCUAAUACAUGCAAGUCGAGCGAACAGACGAGGAGCUUGCUCCUCUGACGUUAGCGGCGGACGGGUGAGUAACACGUGGAUAACCUACCUAUAAGACUGGGAUAACUUCGGGAAACCGGAGCUAAUACCGGAUAAUAUAUUGAACCGCAUGGUUCAAUAGUGAAAGACGGUUUUGCUGUCACUUAUAGAUGGAUCCGCGCCGCAUUAGCUAGUUGGUAAGGUAACGGCUUACCAAGGCAACGAUGCGUAGCCGACCUGAGAGGGUGAUCGGCCACACUGGAACUGAGACACGGUCCAGACUCCUACGGGAGGCAGCAGUAGGGAAUCUGCCGCAAUGGGCGAAAGCCUGACGGAGCAACGCCGCGUGAGUGAUGAAGGUCUUCGGAUCGUAAAACUCUGUUAUUAGGGAAGAACAAAUGUGUAAGUAACUAUGCACGUCUUGACGGUACCUGAUCAGAAAGCCACGGCUAACUACGUG